rnacentral:misc_RNA from 1 species
UGGCUCUCGCAUCGAUGAAGAACGCAGCGAAAUGCGAUAAGUAAUGUGAAUUGCAGAAUUCAGUGAAUCAUCGAAUCUUUGAACGCACCUUGCGCUCCUUGGUAUUCCGAGGAGCAUGCCUGUUUGAGUGUCAUGGAAUUCUCAACCUCUUUUGCUUUGUGUGAAGGAGGCUUGGACUUGGAGGUCGUGUUGGCUUGCAAAAGUCGACUCCUCUGAAAUAUAUUAGUGCGGACCGUACGGAUCGCUUCGGUGUGAUAAUUGUCUACGCCGUGGUGUUGAAGUAUAGCAGUGUCUGGGCUUCUAACCGUCCGCAAGGACAAUUUUCUGACAAUCUGACCUCAAAUCAGGUAGGACUACCCGCUGA